GGGGAAUUUUGGACAAUGGGCGCAAGCCUGAUCCAGCCAUGCCGCGUGAGUGAAGAAGGCCUUCGGGUUGUAAAGCUCUUUCGGCCGGGAAGAAAUCGCAUUCUCUAAUAUAGGAUGUGGAUGACGGUACCGGACUAAGAAGCACCGGCUAACUACGUGCCAGCAGCCGCGGUAAUACGUAGGGUGCGAGCGUUAAUCGGAAUUACUGGGCGUAAAGCGUGCGCAGGCGGUUUUGUAAGACAGAUGUGAAAUCCCCGGGCUUAACCUGGGAACUGCGUUUGUGACUGCAAGGCUAGAGUACGGCAGAGGGGGGUGGAAUUCCUGGUGUAGCAGUGAAAUGCGUAGAUAUCAGGAGGAACACCGAUGGCGAAGGCAGCCCCCUGGGCCUGUACUGACGCUCAUGCACGAAAGCGUGGGGAGCAAAC
rnacentral:rRNA from 1 species